rnacentral:lncRNA from 1 species
ACACACACACACACACACACACACACACACACACACACACACACACACACAGAACUCUUGUGCACACCCCAGCGCCUGUUCCUGGCUGCCACCACCAGCCAGCGGACCUGGAACUCCAGUUGCCUACAACUCUAGUCACUGACUUGAUUCUCUUUUGUAUCUUUCUUUCUUUCUUUUUUUUUUUUUUCACUCACCAGACCCCAGGCCCCCAAGGAGGCCUAGAGACAGAGGUACUCACUGUCUGGGGGAGGGGUAGGACAAAGGGCGGGAAGGGGUGGAAACCUUGUUUUCUAGAGAACUAUUUUGUUUGUAUCCACUGUCCCUGUGAGGAGGGACUCGGGUGGGAGCUGGUCACCAAGGGUGGCUGAUGGUGUACAAGCCCACAGUAAAGCAACUUCACAGCUGCCUCUG